UAGAGUUUCUAAAACUCCCAAACCUUUGUGAACAUACCACUGUUGCUUCGGCGGACGCGCCGGGUGUUCCCCGCGAACGUCCCGGGCUCAACGCGGCCGCCGAGGGUAUCAAACUCUUGUCUUUAUAGCGGACUUCUGAGUAUUAAACAAAAAUAAAUUA
rnacentral:misc_RNA from 1 species